CAUGCAAGUCGAACGGCAGCAUGGAGAGCUUGCUCUCUGAUGGCGAGUGGCGAACGGGUGAGUAAUAUAUCGGAACGUGCCCAGUAAUGGGGAAUAACUAAUUGAAAGAUUAGCUAAUACCGCAUACGACCUACGGGUGAAAGCAGGGGAUCUUCGGACCUUGCGUUAUUGGAGCGGCCGAUAUCUGAUUAGCUAGUUGGUAGGGUAAAAGCCUACCAAGGCGACGAUCAGUAGCUGGUCUGAGAGGACGAUCAGCCACACUGGAACUGAGACACGGUCCAGACUCCUACGGGAGGCAGCAGUGGGGAAUUUUGGACAAUGGGGGAAACCCUGAUCCAGCCAUCCCGCGUGAGUGAAGAAGGCCUUCGGGUUGUAAAGCUCUUUCGGAAGUGAAGAAAACUUAUUUCGUAAUAUGUUAUAAGAAUGACGGUAACUUUAGAAGAAGCACCGGCUAACUACGUGCCAGCAGCCGCGGUAAUACGUAGGGUGCGAGCGUUAAUCGGAAUUACUGGGCGUAAAGCGUGCGCAGGCGGUUUUGUAAGUCAGAUGUGAAAUCCCCGAGCUUAACUUGGGAACUGCGUUUGAAACUACAAGACUAGAGUGUGUCAGAGGGGGGUAGAAUUCCACGUGUAGCAGUGAAAUGCGUAGAGAUGUGGAGGAAUAUCAAUGGCGAAGGCGGCCCCCUGGGAUAACACUGACGCUCAUGCACGAAAGCGUGGGGAGCGAACAGGAUUAGAUACCCUGGUAGUCCACGCCCUAAACGAUGUCAACUAGUUGUUGGUGGAGUAAGAUCCAUGAGUAACGUAGCUAACGCGUGAAGUUGACCGCCUGGGGAGUACGGUCGCAAGAUUAAAACUCAAAGG
rnacentral:rRNA from 1 species